GGUUGACCUCGGAUCAGGUAGGGAUACCCGCUGAACCUAAGCAUAUCA
rnacentral:rRNA from 16 species